rnacentral:siRNA from 1 species
AUAAAUGUGAUAUGAUGUGGU